UACGUAGGGUGCAAGCGUUGCCCGGAUUUAUUGGGCGUAAAGGGCGCGCAGGCGGCUACGCACGUCCGUUGUGAAAUCGCCCGGCUCAACUGGGCGGGGUCAGCGGAUACGGCGUAGCUGGAGCAAGCUAGGGGGCAAUGGAAUUCCCGGUGUAGUGGUGGAAUGCGUAGAUAUCGCUUGGAACGCCAACGGUGAAAACAGGUUGCUGGGGGUGUGCUGACGCUGAGACACGAAAGCCAGGGGAGCGAACGGG
rnacentral:rRNA from 1 species